GAUCUGACUUGCCGACUUUCCUUACCUAUAUUGUUCUAACAUGCCAGCAGCCCUUCUCGCACACCCUGGUUGGAGCUCCCCCUCCUCUCCUUGUGGGGGAGGGUGGGGGACAAGGCCAGGGUGCCAUGGGGGUUAAGCCAUCAUCUGCAGCGACGGGGAGGAUGGCAGGCAGGCAGACAGCGGGCGGCCUCGAUUAGUGUCUAGGUGUCUAGCAGCUGGCUUAGAACUGGUGCGGACCAGGGGAAUCCGACUGUUUAAUUAAAACAAAGCAUCGCGAAGGCCCGCAGUGGGUGUUGACACAAUGUGAUUUCUGCCCAGUGCUCUGAAUGUCAAAGUGAAAAAAUUCAAUGAAGUGUGGGUAAAUGGGUGGAGUAACUAUGACUCUUAAAACGAAACCCUUAAAAUGAAAAAUAAAGUUCAU
rnacentral:ncRNA from 1 species